rnacentral:rRNA from 1 species
AACGAACGCUGGCGGCAUGCCUAACACAUGCAAGUCGAACGAGACCUUCGGGUCUAGUGGCGCGCGGGUGCGUAACGCGUGGGAAUCUGCCCUUGGGUUCGGGAUAACAGUUGGAAACGACUGCUAAUACCGGAUGACGUCUUCGGACCAAAGAUUUAUCGCCCAGGGAUGAGCCCGCGUCGGAUUAGCUAGUUGGUAGGGUAAAAGCCUACCAAGGUGACGAUCCGUAGCUGGUCUGAGAGGAUGAUCAGCCACACUGGGACUGAGACACGGCCCAGACUCCUACGGGAGGCAGCAGUGGGGAAUAUUGGACAACGGGCGAAAGCCUGAUCCAGCAAUGCCGCGUGAGUGAUGAAGGCCUUAGGGUUGUAAAGCUCUUUUACCCGGGAUGAUAAUGACAGUACCGGGAGAAUAAGCCCCGGCUAACUCCGUGCCAGCCGCCGCGGUAA